AUAAAUUGCUACGAGAUUUGGGGCAAUCUAUUUAUAUAUAACUUAUCAACUGUAAACUUAAGCACUGUGCUUACAUUGGGGAUAUUGUAGUCUGACUUUUCUUUGAGUCCUUCAUACAAUUUUUCAACGUACUAAUUUUAAAUGUCACCAGGUUUAUGGCAGCAAUGCCAUACAGGCAAGUUCAGACAACUGGUAGAUACAUGUAUUAUGUUUGGACUCUCCACAAAUUGUUCAGUUUGAGAUUAUUUUAAACUGAUUAGUGUAUCUAUACCGGAAUUUAUAACAGCUGAAAUAAAAACAAAUCCUAGUUGCGAUUGUUAAACCGUUUUUAAAAAAAUACGUUUGGAAAUAUAAGGUGAACAGCUGGUAAUAAUUACACUAGAAUGUGUUUCAUCAAAUCAUCACGGUUAUUAUAAUUGUUUAAAACAUAUUAACAUAUUUUAAAAACAUCAUAAACUUUCGAGUCCUUCAGCAAUGUUUAUUUCUAUUGGAAUUAAACAGAAAUAGAGUUGUUGUUCUUGUCUGAAUUAGUUCUGAUGUUCAUAUAUUCAACAUGGAAUCCUUCCAGGGGGGGCACGAGUCGGUAUUCGACUUGUCCCGGAAUAAGACGAGUGGAUCACGAAUGUCAGACGGUUAUCUUGUUUAUGAUGUCAUGACAAGCUUGCAUGGGAUCCGGUGUGUCUUACCUUAGAUUGAUGCAUGACAAAAUGGUCGAUGUAUUUGGGGCAAAACCUGUCCAUAUUGGUUGAAAUGGAAACUGAAUCUGUUGCCAACAUUAUUAAGUAACGAAUAGAAACUUAGCAUCAAUGACUUGGCUGUAUCUGUCUAAUCCAGUAUCUUCCAGAUGAAUAGAGAGUUUUACUUCAAGCGGUGCCAUAGAUCUUUCUCCUGCUUACCAGCAACGAAGCUCAAAUUUACAAAGGUCGUUUACUACAGUACGGUUCGUUUACAUCGUAUCCGCCAUGGCCAACCAUAUUCCUGUGGCAUUUGAAGGAUAUAUAAAUAUAUAUUGAAAGUUUUUUUACAUUUAGCCACAGGGUAUUUCGAAAAAAUAUGCAUGUUUGCUGAUGAACGAUGAACGAAUUUUAGCAGAUACGACAGCAUAACAGCAGCUCGUGAUACGUCGACGAGGAGUUCCACUUCAGGUGACGAAACGACAACACCCACGCCCACUCCGGCAGAUAACGUGAGCACG